ensembl:snoRNA small nucleolar RNA SNORA79
UGACGUCGGUUCCUCCUCCUGUCUGAAGUCCUUCAGGAGGAUUUUACGACGUCACAGAGAAACGGGUCUUUUUCACCCAGAGAGCUUCAGCUGCACCCCAGCGCAAUCAAAGCUUCCUGGUUUUGCAAGACCCGACAAAU